rnacentral:lncRNA from 1 species
CACAACCCCAGUCCAGCGCCUCGCUUUUGCUGAGGUUGGCUUUGAACUCGUGAUUCUCCUGCCUCAGCCUCCCAAGCUGCUAUGAUUACAGGUGUGCACCACUGUGCCCGGCGACAAGCUGUAACUUUUAUGACAGUUCCUUGUGUUUUAUUUCCAUGAAAGUAGACUCAUGUUCCCAGAUGUUAGGAAAUCAAAAUCCACCUAACUCAAGUGGGGCACAGGGAAAGCUCUUUCUUGUCUGCUGUAGACAUUUUUCUGAAAUAACUUGCUGUGAAUUGGCUUUCUGACUAUAUCCAACUUUUAGUUUGGUAAUUUUGCUAAAUGAAAACUCUUCUGUGGGAGCCAGGGUUGUGGUUCAGUGGUAGAGCACUUGCCUAGUGUGCAUGAGGCCACUACAUAAAAAUAAAAACUACAACUAAAAAAGAAAAAGAAAAAAACCUUUUUGUGCAUAGGGAAGAGCUUCUAGCCUCUUUGGGGAGAGCAUACACUUGCCUUCUCACAGUGAAUGACUAAUAUGCCAGUGCUCUCUCACCCACCUCUUUUUUAUUUUGACUUAAAAUGAUUUGUUUGAAACAUAAAAGAUUGUAUUGGAUGCUUGAAGUUACUGAUUAUUACGUCACUAGUCUCUUGUGAAUUCAUAUAUUGCAUUAUAAAAACGGUAAAAUGAACCCUAC